GGCGUGUGCCACCACACGUGGCUAAUUUUUCAAAAACUCUAAAGAUGGGGCUUACUAUGUUGCUCAGGCUGCCACCGCUCUUUACCAGCCUUUCUUGCUCCUCAUGUUUUGACAUCUGAACCAAUCCCAGCCAGUGGGACUCUAGGCGAUGUCUGCUGGUGGGCUUCUGGGCUUUCUAAUAAAGACAAAGUGUCCUUUUCUUUGGCCAGGUGUUAUGUCUGCAAUGAUGGUAUCUGAAGCAACCAUGUGGAUCCCAUGAGAACAGCCUAAAGGCCAGGGCAGUGGCUGAGAUGGAGAGCCUGGCUCUUCAUGACAUCAUUGGGCCACUGAACCAACCCUGUGACCACAGACUUUUUGCCCUUGCAUAUGCAGCAGAGUCUGAAUUCCCAUCUGCUGGGAGCACAGAAAGGGGCACAGCAUCCUGGUUACAAACCUGAAGUCUACACAUCUCUCACUAAUGAAGCCAUCACAGUCUGGAGCCAGGUCUUCCCAUUUGAAUGAGGAGAGAGGACAGAGUCACAUUUGCUUGCCUUUUACUGCUUACUGACUCAAUAGCAUCAGGGAAGGUUUACUUUAUGAACCUGGCACAAAGUAGGUUCUGGGCCUGAUGUUAACAACAUUCACUCUGCCCUCUUCACAAAUGAAAAGGUGGAACAUUUCUGACUUCUAGUAAAUUCACAUUGCAAUGACUUUCUCUGGACACAGAUCUCGCAGUUCUCCCAUCCCUCAAGGCUGCUGUGAUUAAUUUAUUUUAAAAAGUCUUUCACAGUUUGAGGAGAAGAACAGUUGAAAAGCUCUAGGUAGAGGUUAAUUUGGUGUUCACAAAUCAAGUGAUAGCCCACUCUAUCUCAUAGCUUAAUGAAUAGUAGGAUUAGGAGAGUAACUUCACUUUUGUAUUGAAUCCCUUUUUAUAUGUACCUUUAAAAACUUUUGCACUUCCUUUUUUUCUCCUUCAGUGAACCUUAGCAUAUAAACAAAAUAUUUUUUUUAAAAAGCAUUUUAUAUGUAGACAUGAACUUUUAUAUUUCUCAGACUUAAAUUUGAAAGCAGGUAGAGUAGGCAGUUUGUUUUGCCUGCUUAACUCCUUUCCCUUUUGUUUUUUAAAAAAAUAGUUUAUUCUUUUUAAGAGAUUGGGGUCUCACCGUGUUGACCAGGCUGGUCUCAAACUCCUGAGCUCAAGUGAUCCUCCUGCCUUGGCCUCCCAAAGUAUAGUUAUUACAGGCGAGACCCACUAUGUCUGGCCCCAACCUUUUCUAGAAAAUUCUGGAAUUGUCUAAUCCAUGAACUCCAUCUGCAUGGUUAGUGCAAGUCACCAUGUUACUACUAUAUGGCCCAAGCCAUGAGUACUACCCACUCUUCAGAGCCUAGAAUCCUGGAGAGAGUUUACCUCUAUUUCAUUCUGUCUCCAAAGUUUACAGUGUUUCUUCCUGCAUCUUGUGAAAACCUUUGCAGACGGAUAUUCUUUCCUGAACACUUUCCUCAAGCUGCAUCGUGCUGUGUUGCUGGAGUCUGUCAUCUAUGUAUAAUGUAACCCUUGUUACCUGAUAGUAAUUACUAUAAACUUUGUCGAUGCGUUACUAUGAAGAGGGGUAAAAGUUGUGUUAGGUUUACAAUAAACAUUUUUUGUUGCAUACAUUGUAUACAUGUUUAUAAAUUGCCUUGUUUUGAACCAGAGCCAGGCUUAUUCCCAUUCCAAAUGAAAGCACCAAAGUCUCAAAACCUCCUGCCUCUUGCUUCUGUUAUGCUUUGGUCUUAUCCUCUACCCAUGAAUUGUUUCUUUGCUUUCCACACAGAACCCCAACUCAAGCUAUUCCAACUCAGAAGCAUAGAGAAAUUAUAAAAUUCAAGAACAGAUAUUAGAAUGGAAAAUGAGUUUAACUUAAAAGAAUACCAACAGUCUCAGGUUUAAAGUCUAACAACUUUAUGUGUUUAUUUUUGCUUUAAUCCUGUCAUCAUGGGUAAAUUUUUAGCUGUUCAUUUUUAUACAACAACAUAGGAUCAGAGAUAACGUGAACACAUUAGUCUCUACAAGGCUAAUUCUACCCCAGCACCCAUCAAAGUGACCCAAAUGACACGCCAUGCAUCUUGAGUGACGUGCACUGCCAUAUACUCUGAGCUCUACUACAGGUAAUGUUACACCAAAUUGACGUUGUAACUGUGAUUCAAAUGUCUCUUAGAGACAAAUAUAGAACAGUAGGUAAAAUAACCCUGAAGACUUCCAAGAGUAAUGAGGUUUCGCCAAGGUUUGUUGUAUUUAUCGUGGAUAGUUUUCAGGAAAUAACUUACCAGAAAGCCUGAUUGAUUUGACAGUCAUUUUGACCUGUGAUUUAUGUAUUAAAUACAAUUUCAAGAUUCCUGGAAUAAAGUAUUCCUAAUAGAUUGUAGAUCCUGUAUCUUUUUAUAAGCAAAUAAUCCCUUGUGAUUUUUAAAGUUGCAAGAAAAUGCUGAUGGAAAAAUUUUCAUGAUGUUGAAAUAGGUAUAAAUAGAAGCUUAUACAAAGCCACUGUCUCAACAUCAGCAGGAUAAGAGAUAAGAACUUCUGAGAUAUUAUACUGUUUCCCAAAGAAAACACUACUCAGUUUUUUUUCCUUCCCCUUUUUCUCUCCCCACCCUGUACUUUCCUCCUUUCCAUCCCUAUUAACUGAGUUCCACCUAUGGUUUUAAUCUUACUAAAUCAGAAAUUGGCUUAGUUUCAUUUGAAUUUCCUUUUAUAUGUGCCCAUGAUUAAAAACAACAAAAACCCUGCUUUUGAUCACAAUAAGAUCUUUACCAUCUCUAACCAUUCCUUCUCCAGUAUAUGAAGUAUAUGAAUUAUUCUAAUUCAAUAGGAUUCUAAUGCAAUUUGGCAAUAACUAGUGUUUGGAUUUAAAAAGCCAUUGGCAUAAACAGAAGGAGAUGUUUAGGGGAAAUGAGCAGGCAAGCAGAUAAUUUAGAAAGAAGUGAUGGUUUCUGUGGUUAAAAAUAAAAGUCUGGGAUUUAGUUUUUCUUUGCCAUACAGAAAACAGAUGUUGCUAUUUUUGUUCAAAAUACAAAACUUAAAUUCCAUGCUUAGACUCUGGAAUGUGUAAAGUAACUAUGGAUACCAAAUUUAUGAUUUAAAAAAAUCUGACAUUUAAUCUGUUCAUAUUUGAAAUCAGGAAAUAAUUGUGCUCCUGAAAUGUUAACUUUCUAUAUAACAGAUUGACUGAUUUAUAUACUCAGGAACACUGAAGAUACUCUCAGUUCAGGGCUCUCUUUGGGGGCAUAAGGUUAUUACACUAUAUAGUCUCUUGGGAACAAAAAUAAAAAUAGGCCAUGGAGAGAUGUUCUUGCUCCUCCUUUUUCUCCUUUCUAUAAUCCUUUUCUUCCCCCAGAAAGAUCCUGAGAGAGAGACAACCUGGCUUUCACCAGCCUACUGCUGUGCCCUUGCACAGCUGCUGGCCCACUUGGGUGGAGGCUUCCAGUGGCACCCUCCACUGGGACACUCGUACCCCCCAUCCUGGUCCCCAGAGGCUCCAUGUCUCACUUCCCACCCCAUCCUUGGGAAACGAGGUGAGCUAGUAAAAUGGAGUAAUUGUCUUCUGCAGUUUGCUUUAGUGUGGGCAAGAAAUUCCCAAUCUCAUAUCACUUGCUUUUAUAUGUGAGAAAUAAUUAUUCUAAUUCUGCCCUGUCCGAACAAAUCUAUGACCAGUGGAAGAAAUCAUGAAGAUAACAGUUUUCAUCCCAUUGGGUCAAUAUUGAGUGUUAUAAUAUCUCUGAGGCCCCCACUAGGAUGUAAGCCCCAAGAGGGCAGUGAUGGCGCCUGAGUGCUCACCAAUGGAUACAUUCACUCAGACACAGUCACUGCCUAGCAAGUAGUAGAUGCUCAGACACACAAAGAAAUUAAAAAAGGAAAGAAUAAAAUAUGCAAGCACACUUACAGCAAUAAUAGUGACUUCCCCAAUGUAAUAUGUUCAUAAGACUGAUCAAUCUGUUAUAAAUGCAAUGAUGCUUCUAUUUUUAAGAAAAAAACUCAUACAUUUUCCUUAUACAAAUUAUGUGAGCAGAGUUUACAUUGGGGUGUUUUGGAAUGAACUGUUUAAUUACUAUUUUCCAGGUUUGUCAGAAUAAUCAUUUAUCUGAACCCACUAAAAUUUCUACUUGUGUGUGUCUCUUUUUUUUCUUUUUCCUGGCUGCCCAUGAGAAUGCUGAGACGUUAUCAAAUAGAUUUCAGUUCUGUGACCUGAAUUGCAGUUGUGUAAGUGCUAUAAAUAAAAAUCAUUUGCUUUAGUAAUUGAAUAGUAAACUGAAAGACAGUAUUGUAGAUGUUAAUAUUUCAAUGUGAACAUCUAAUAAAAAGAACAAACACUGCUUUCUAGAAUGGAAGCAAAAGUUAUGGGUUUCUCCAUAGUCAUAUUUUAUUCAUUAUUCUACUUUCUGCACACUGUAUAUGCUUGAGGUAAAACAAUAAUCAAGAUGAUAAAUACAUAAAGACCGUUAGUUGUAGUCUGGGAGCCUCAAUAAGAGUGGUAUUGUGGCUUAAUGUCCCAUGGUUCUAGCUUUUCUCCACACAGCAGGAUUUAGAUGUUUUCAUUACUAAACGAAGAAGUCACCAUUUGUCCUAAGAUACACUAAGACAAAUAGGAAUUUAAAACUUAUACGAAAGACAUCUUUUUCUUGGGUUAGAGAUGUCUAAUACAUCAUUUCUACAGGAUUAAUUUUUUUAAUUAUAUGGAUUAGAAAACUAAGAAGCAGGAAUAUCAGAUCACUCUGGUUUGUUUCUGUGAAAUUGUCUGUUGUAAAUUGAGUACUCACUAGUAUUCAUGGUGGCAGUUGCAAAAUUACCAGUAUAUUAAAACUCGCUCACAUUGUA